CUUUCCCAGGUCCUUUGGUGGAUGUUGCACGCAAGCCCAGCUCCCAUGGCAGGGGUCCUCCGAGGCGAAAGAACAAAGCUACAGGUCACAAGAAACCCCAUGAGCCACUCAAAAUCACGGGACAAAUGGUGAAAGAAAUACUGCAAACCGAACAAGAAGUGGAUGGAGAGGCUGGGCAAAAGGCGGUGUUUCCCGAAGGAAGCAGUGGUUCCAUGCCAGCCUCUGCUGUAGGACUGGAGGCGAUGCCAGGCACAGUCACAGGAGGU